UACGUAGGGUGCAAGCGUUAAUCGGAAUUACUGGGCGUAAAGCGUGCGCAGGCGGUUUCGUAAGUCUGUCGUGAAAUCCCCGGGCUUAACCUGGGAAUGGCGAUGGAGACUGCGAGGCUAGAGUUUGGCAGAGGGGGGUAGAAUUCCACGUGUAGCAGUGAAAUGCGUAGAGAUGUGGAGGAACACCGAUGGCGAAGGCAGCCCCCUGGGUCAAGACUGACGCUCAUGCACGAAAGCGUGGGGAGCAAACAGG
rnacentral:rRNA from 1 species